AUGACCGAAAGUUCUAAAAGGCUCCCAGCACUCCAUUCUACUUUCCUCAUUUCCCUCACCAUUCUCUUCUUCACAACCCAUGGAUUCCAUGCCACUGCAAAAUCCUCGAUCUUCUCUGAAAACUCAUCUCCAUUGUCACUCGGGAUCAAACAAGAGAAGCUAAGCCACCUCCACUUCUACUUCCAUGACAUCGCCAGCCGCCCCAACCCAACUGCCAUCUGGGUUGUCCGACCACCCACAUCUUACAAAUCUCCAACGCUGUUUGGCUCUGUAGCUAUGAUCGAUGAUGCCUUGUCCCAAAAGGAGCUCCAAACUUGUGGGAAGAGCACAAGGGUUUUAUGCAUCUGCCUCACAAAGUGAAGAUGCUUUGUUGAUGUCCAUGAACUUGGCUUUCACGGAAGGCAAGUUUAAUGGUAGCAGUCUUACUGUUUUGGGACGAAACGCUGUGGUUGAAGCUGUAAGAGAGAUGCCUAUAAUCGGUGGAAGUGGACUUUUUCGGUUUGCUCGGGGUUAUGUUCAGGCCAAGACUCUCACGUUCAAUGCCACAACCGGAGAUGCUGUUGUUGAAUACAAUGUGUUUGUACUGCAUUAUUGAUCUAAUUGUUCUUGCAGCUUAAUCAGUCUGUUUGUUUUUUUUUCCUCUCUGGACAAAAAUAUUAAGCUCAUGUCUCAUUUGCUGUUGUUGAAUAUAAUGUGUUUGUG